GGGGCUUAUUAUGUUCUGAAUGUAAGAUAUUUCUGUAAGAUAUUGCCAAUAAAUAGGAUUCUGGUAUCUUUGUAAUAGGAUUUGGAUCUCAAUUAACUACGUCCACAGUCCACUACUACAACUCGUAGUCCUAGCUUCUACUCUUCACUCUUCACUCUUCACCACCACAAACCUCGUUCUUUUCACUGGCUCACCCAAUUUGGCAUUCAGAUGGAUCCAAACAGCGGUUUCAACUCAGAAACAGACCCUUUCCACAGCCUCAGACCCCCAAUCGAUCUUCCACCACAACAUAUUCCUCUAUCAGCUUCUGAUUACGCUUACUCGCUCCGAGCUAAAUCGCCAUGGCCUGACUCACUCGCUCUCGUCAACUCCUCCACGGGUCAGCGAGUUUCAUACUCCGAGUUCACUCGCAAAACCCAAACUCUAGCCUCCUAUCUUCACUCCGCCAUCGGACUCUCCAAAGGCGACACCGCUUUCGUUCUCUCUCAAAACCUCGUCCAGGUUCCGAUCCUCUAUUUCUCGCUGCUCUCUCUUGGGAUAGUCAUCUCCCCGGCUAACCCACUCAGCACCGAGUCUGAGAUUUCAAGCCUAAUCCAACUAUGCAACCCAGUGAUCGCAUUUGCCACGUCAUCAAGCGCUCACAAACUUUCAAACAUUUCUCUCCAUUUCAAAACCAUUGUCCUCGACUCGCCCGAGUUCGACUCAAUGAUGACGAGUCCGGUUCAAACGAUCGACCGCGUCGAAGUGAGCCAGUCCGAUUUGGCGGCGAUAUUGUACUCGUCGGGGACCACCGGGAGAGUCAAAGGAGUGAUGCUGACUCACCGGAACCUGAUGGCGACUGUGUCCGGUGCCUACGCGCACCGGACGGAGAGGAAGUCGCCUGCGGUGUUGCUCUAUACGGUGCCGUAUUUUCACGUGUUCGGUUUUCCUACAGCUUGAAGUCGGUGGCUUUGAACGAGGGGGUGGUGCUAAUGGAGAGGUUCGAUUUGAGGAAGAUGAUGAGGGCGGUGGAAGAGUUUAGGGUGACCCACGUGGCGAUGGCCCCACCGGUGGUGGUGGCCAUCGCCAAGACUGAUGUAACGGACGACUACGAUUUGAGCUCGUUGGAAGGGGUUGCGUGCGGUGGGGCUCCAAUUGCGAAGGACGUUGUUUCCGCUUUCAUGGCGAAGUUUCCAAGAGUUGUCUUUGUACAGGGUUAUGGGCUAACUGAAUCAACAGGGUCAGCGUGGCGAACAGUGGGUCAAGAGGAGAGUGUUCAUUGGGGAUCAACAGGGAGACUUUCAGAAGGUUUUGAAGCCAAAAUUGUAGACCCGGACACAGGGCAUGCUUUGCCUCCGUGCAAGCAAGGGGAGCUCUGGAUUAGAGGACCCACGAUUAUGAAAGGUUAUAUUAGUGAUCCAGAAGCAACUUCUGCAACUUUAGUCGCAGAAGGUUGGUUGAGAACAGGUGAUCUUUGUUAUAUUGAUGAGGAAGGUUUCCUAUUUGUUGUAGAUAGGCUUAAAGAAUUGAUCAAAUACAAGGGAUAUCAGGUAGCCCCUGCAGAGCUAGAACAUUUGCUUCAGUCCCACCCGGAGAUAGUUGAUGCUGCUGUUAUACCAUACCCUGAUGAAGAAGCUGGUCAGGUGCCAAUAGCUUUUGUGGUAAGACAGCCUCAAAGCUCCCUUGGAGAAGCAGAGAUAAUAGAUUUUGUCGCAAAACAGGUUUCACCGUACAAGAAAAUAAGACGUGUAACGUUUGUCAAUUCCUUACCCAAGAGUGCAACUGGAAAAUUAUUGAGAAAGGAUUUGAGGAAGAUUGUUACUGUCAACUCUUCUUCUAGGUUAUGACUUCUUGUUGGGUCAAUAUACAUUAAGACAAACAAGAAACUCACUCAUCAUAUCUGAUGAUGAUGAUGAUGAUGAUUUCUCAAUUUAGAUUGUUGCAAUUCAAGUUUGAAGAUAAAUUCUAAUAUAUAUAUAUAGCAUUAAGAUAUUGAGAGGUUAUCACCUGCCGUCAGUGGAUGCUGGACUCAGGGAUGGAGCCAGACUAUCAUGGGGUUUGGUGUGCUAAUGGUUUAGUUAGGAUGAGUUUUAGGAUGAACAAUGAUUUUCAAUAUUAUGAUAGUCCGCCAGUGGACGUUCUAAAUGUUUUUGAGGGUGACCUCAAUGAGAUGUACUUGAACAGGAUAUGUCUUGAGC